GACGAACGCUGGCGGCGUGCCUAAUACAUGCAAGUCGAACGAGAGCGACCGGUGCUUGCACUGGUCAAUCUAGUGGCGAACGGGUGAGUAACACGUGGGUAACCUGCCCAUCAGAGGGGGAUAACAUUCGGAAACGGAUGCUAAAACCGCAUAGGUCCUUUAACCGCAUGGUUGAAGGAGGAAAAGAGGCGCAAGCUUCUGCUGAUGGAUGGACCCGCGGUGCAUUAGCUAGUUGGUGAGGUAACAGCUCACCAAGGCCGUGAUGCAUAGCCGACCUGAGAGGGUGAUCGGCCACAUUGGGACUGGGACACGGCCCAAACUCCUACGGGAGGCAGCAGUAGGGAAUCUUCCGCAAUGGACGCAAGUCUGACGGAGCAACGCCGCGUGAGUGAAGAAGGUUUUCGGAUCGUAAAACUCUGUUGUUAGAGAAGAACAAGUGCUAGAGUA
rnacentral:rRNA from 1 species